UACGUAGGGGGCUAGCGUUGUCCGGAAUCAUUGGGCGUAAAGAGCGCGUAGGCGGCCCGGUAAGUCCGUUGUAAAAGUCAAAGGCUCAACCUUUGAAUGUCAGUGGAUACUGCCGGGCUAGAGUCCGGAAGAGGCGAGUGGAACUCCUGGUGUAGCGGUGGAAUGCGCAGAUAUCAGGAAGAACACCAACGGCGAAGGCAGCUCGCUGGGACGGAACUGACGCUAAGGCGCGAAAGCGUGGGGAGCGAACAGG
rnacentral:rRNA from 1 species